AGUGAACGCUGGCGGUAGGCCUAACACAUGCAAGUCGAACGGCAGCACAGUAAGAGCUUGCUCUUACGGGUGGCGAGUGGCGGACGGGUGAGGAAUACAUCGGAAUCUACUUUUUCGUGGGGGAUAACGUAGGGAAACUUACGCUCAUACCGCAUACGACCUACGGGUGAAAGCAGGGGAUCUUCGGACCUUGCGCGAUUGAAUGAGCCGAUGUCGGAUUAGCUAGUUGGCGGGGUAAAGGCCCACCAAGGCGACGAUCCGUAGCUGGUCUGAGAGGAUGAUCAGCCAAACUGGAACUGAGACACGGUCCAGACUCCUACGGGAGGCAGCAGUGGGGAAUAUUGGACAAUGGGCGCAAGCCUGAUCCAGCCAUACCGCGUGGGUGAAGAAGGCCUUCGGGUUGUAAAGCCCUUUUGUUGGGAAAGAAAAGCAGCAGGUUAAUACCCCGCUGUUCUGACGGUACCCAAAGAAUAAGCACCGGCUAACUUCGUG
rnacentral:rRNA from 1 species